rnacentral:rRNA from 1 species
UACAGAGGUCUCAAGCGUUGUUCGGAUUCAUUGGGCGUAAAGGGUGCGUAGGCGGCGCGGUAAGUCGGGUGUGAAAUCCUGAGGCUUAACCUCGGAACUGCAUUCGAUACUGCGGCGCUUGAGGACUGGAGAGGAGACUGGAAUUCAUGGUGUAGCAGUGAAAUGCGUAGAGAUCAUGAGGAAGACCAGUGGCGAAGGCGGGUCUCUGGACAGUUCCUGACACUGAGGCACGAAGGCCAGGGGAGCAAACGGG